GAUGAACGCUGACAGAAUGCUUAACACAUGCAAGUCUACUUGAUUCUACUUCGGUAGUUGAUGGUGGCGGACGGGUGAGUAACGCGUAAAGAAUCUGCCCUUUAGUUUGGGAUAACCUUUGGAAACGAAGGCUAAUACCGGAUAUUAUGGAGACGUCGCAUGGCGACUCCAUGAAAGCUAUAUGCGCUAGAGGAGGACUUUGCGUCCCAUUAGUUAGUUGGUGAGGUAAUGGCUCACCAAGACCGCGAUGGGUAGCCGGCCUGAGAGGGUGAUCGGCCACAAGGGAACUGAGACACGGUCCUUACUCCUACGGGAGGCAGCAGUGGGGAAUAUUGGACAAUGGGCCACAAGCCUGAUCCAGCAAUUCUGUGUGCACGAUGAAGGUCUUCGGAUUGUAAAGUGCUUUCAGUAGGGAAGAAAAAAAUGACGGUACCUACAGAAGAAGCGACGGCUAAAUAUGUGCCAGCCGCCGCAGUAAUAC
rnacentral:rRNA from 1 species